UAUCAGAGCUGUUCCGGUUCAUUCGAGACUGUGAGUUUGGGACUCGUCAACGUUUUAUUACAUUGCGACUUCAGAAAAUCGACCCAUGUAUGUUGUUUGUGUAUACAUGCGGGAAUGGGUGGAGUUGGAAACUAGAAGAUCGACCCAUGUAUGUUGUUUGCGUAUACAUGCGGGAAUGAGUGGAGUUGGGGUGAGUUUUGCUCAAGUUAGGGCUGGAAGAAUCAACAAGAAUAUAUACAGAAGAAAUUAGUCAUUGCCACGCGUUUUGUGGGUGUUUUGUAUGGUGAGAACAUGGAUUUGAAACGAAGAAUGACUUAACAAAAUCGAUAAGAACUUGUUAGAGUCUGAGACGAUUUUAGGUGUAGGUCUCCAUUGAAUUUAAUGGGAUGAAUCACUUAAAUUGAGAACGGUUCAGUGUUCAUUAAUGCUUAGAAUUGUUGGGUUUGUUUUACCUUUCGAAAUUUAAGUGAUGGAGAUGUAAGGAAAAGGUUAGAAACCAAGCAACCAAGGAAUCUCUUCAACAACAGCAAGAUACCCACAAGCUGUUGGACAAAAUUUCAGAGAGAAAGAGUAUACAUUCUUAUUUUGUUCCUUAUUUACUUCAGCAACUAUAGGCUGAUUUAUUUAUGAGUUUUGGCUAAUUUAAUCAUCUAGAAGAUGGGUAUUUAAAUUCCCUUGAAA